UUUUUCUUUUCUUUUUUUUUUUUUUUUAACAUAAAUGCUAAUCUCCACGACCUUUUCCUGGGAGAUGCUGGCAGACAGGAGGAGUGCUACUCUGAAUGACUCUAGCCCAGACCUGAUAAAGCAGAAUCUUUAAAAACAGGGCCUAGGAAUCCGGAUUUAAAAAAUUCCUCCAGGAGAUUUUGGUGGAAUCAAACCACUAAAGUUUGAAAAGUAUUGGACUAUGGAAUGGGGUUUGUACUAUUCUAAAAAAUGCAGAUGAGGGGUUUUCAUUUUUAUUUGGCCCUUCAAAGCUUUCUUUUCAUGGAAGACUCUGGAUCAUUUGAGAUGAAAUCACUAUAGUACCUAGUGACCUGUCCACUUGGUAAAUUUACCAUUUCUCAAUAAUUGGUCCCAAACAGCAAAUGCAAUAAACAAGGGCUCUUUCUCUCCCUUCUGUGUUAUGGUUUCCAUUGGGACUAAAGCUGAGAUAGGAAAAGGAGGGUUAUUCAUUUGCCCUCCGGCUCUUUUAUUUCGCACACUCAAAAAUAGAUACGGAAAAGAGGCAAGUGGUUGUGGCGUGAGCCUUAGGAGCCACCUAUGCAGGACGGCUCCCAAGACCCCACGAUGCUGCCAUACCAGGCUGGUGUGGUGAUUUUAAACAAGCCUAGUGGGAAGCAGCUGAGCCAGUAUAGGAACUGGCUCCUUGACAGUCUUUGAAAGCGGGAUCCAGCCCACAGCCAGUUAAUUCUGCAUCCAGGUGCUGAGGUACGGUUUGCGACACUAGAGGGCAGCAGAGGGUCAGGUGUCUCUGCAGGUGGCUGGGGAGGUGGACACCACCCAGGGAGGGGCUUGCAGCCUAGGGUGGCAAGGCAACGUCAGAAAAGGUGGCAGUGACAAAGAAGAGCCAAGGACACCGUCAAAACACAAGCCUCAGGGGCCAGUUGUGGAAAUAUCAUUCCCCUCAAGGGAAAUAAUAGAAUCCAGAACAAGAGCCACAAGAAGCCCGGAUGGUGUUGGAACGCAGAGAGGAUGAGAGCCAAAGUGAAGACCAGGCCAGAGGUACAGGGGUAACUCCCACCCUUGGGGGGGACACACAGCGAUCUGGGGCUGGUCUCUAUAGGAAACGUGGCUCUAAGAGCAUGCCCAGCCCCUUGCACUGCAACAGUCUAAAUUUACCCUUAUCUUGGUUUUCUCUCCAACAGUAGGCUCUGCUCCCACUGCUGACUCAUCUAUUUCAUGACAAGAAGUCUAAGGACUUAGUGACACAGCUCUUUAGCAGAUCUGAAAUGGAGAGCAGCUUCAGAAUGGCUGUGCUGCCCAAGGCUGCACUUCUGUGACAGACCCUUUGGAGCCCAUCACCCUCCAGUGCAGCAGUCCAUCAGCACGGGGGAGAUGUGUGUACUCCUCCUACCACUCACCGGUGGGCCCUCUGGCUCUCAUCGCCCUGCUCUCCCAAGGUUGCACAUUUCUGCAGAGCGCCUUGGAAACGGAGCCACAGUUUCCCUUAAUCUUGACCCCAAAGAGAAGAUGAUCUUGACCUACAUUGGGACCCGCCCCUCUGCCUGCCACUGGCCUGGAGCAGCCCAUGCCGGUGCAGCCUCGGAAGGGCAGGGAGAUGAGAGUCAGAAGGCCUGCCAGUGAGUGAUAGGUGGAGGGCACCUCUCCUGUGCUGAUGUAUUGCUGUGCUGUAGUGUGAUGGGUUCCACAGUUAGAGAUGUGGCCUUGGGCAGCACAGCCAUUCUGAGCCUUGUGAAAGGGAAGAUAAUUUUUGUGCUGGCCCUAAGGUGCCCAGAGCUCUAGCAAACACUCUCUCCUGUUUUCUCUCCCACUCCCCUCGACAGCUGCAUAAUAUUGUAAUAAGCAAA
ensembl:lncRNA